rnacentral:rRNA from 1 species
UACGGGGGGAGCAAGCGUUGUUCGGAUUUACUGGGCGUAAAGGGCGCGUAGGCGGCCACCGCAAGUCGACUGUGAAAUCUCCGGGCUUAACCCGGAAAGGUCAGCCGAUACUGCGGGGCUAGAGUGCAGAAGGGGCAACUGGAAUUCUCGGUGUAGCGGUGAAAUGCGUAGAUAUCGAGAGGAACACCUGCGGCGAAGGCGGGUUGCUUGGCUGACACUGACGCUGAGGCGCGAAAGCUAGGGGAGCGAACGGG